AUAAACAUAUAUUUCCGAUGAUUUCAUAAAAAAAAAAUAAAUUUGAAAUUUCUUAAAAAAAAAAGAAGAAUCAUCUUUUAGAAAUGCACAACAAUGAUUAACCACGCAAGGCGGCACCGUGACAGGAGCGUGAAACUCGUGCUAGGUACGAGAAAGUCGAAUACCAGUUGGAACAAAGCAUUAAUCAACAGAGCAAUAGAGUGAAAUCUCUGGGAGAGAAAUAAUUCAAUAAGGAGGAAAAUGGAACGAAGUCUAAGUUGCGGUAUGCCGGCUUUUUACUCUCCCUCUUUUACUCAGGGACUCGUCCUUCCGUUUGGUUCAUAUUCACACGCUGGCCAACGCAGUAACGCAGCGAUGGGUGUGCCAGAAGUAUAGAAACUAAACAUUAUUUGUUCACUGACAGUCAAUGAAUCCACACCCCAUAAAUAUUAUAUUUUUCCUUUAUUUGUACUUCUAUCCGAUUCAAUCAAUCAAAUAUAAUAAAUCUUCUUUAUAUUGAAAAUAUCAAAACGAAAAAUAAAUAGAGAAUGUCAAUAUAACUUACUUUGUACUUAAAUUCGGAAUUCUGUUGCAAUUGAAUCUGCACCAUGCGUGGACGUCUUCAAUUUUGUCUGUUAGCACGUAUACGAGUACGAUUGAACAAUAUACGGUACAAGAAGCUAGUAGAGAAAAAGAUAGGAGAGAGAGAGAGAGAGA